rnacentral:ncRNA from 1 species
GUAGUCUGCCAUACGCAGGAAGACCCGCUGAACUGAAGCAUCUCAUUAAGCGGAGGAAAAGAAACUAACUAGGAUUCCCUUAGUAAAGGCGAUCGAAAAGGGAACAGCCCAACGUCUUAAUCCCGCAAGGGAAAUGUAGUCGGUUCACCUAUUGCACUGGUCUAAGUCAGAUGGAAUGCUGCGCGAUUCAGAGUAAAAGCCUCGUAUGACCAACCGCAAGCUUACGAUGGACCGGGGAGAGUCGGAUACUUUGAGAGUAGUGUCUUAAGGGGGUGGUAUGUCCCAUCCAAGGCUAAAUAACGUGAGGAGACCGAUAGAUUACAAGUAGUGUGAACGAAAGAUGAAAAGAACUCUAAAACAGAGGGGAAA